GGGCUUGACCGGUUUUGACAGCGGGCAGAAAUGGUUUGUAAGCAUGCAGUGCGUCGUUGAUCGGCACUAUAAUCUCGGUUGAUAAAAAUUUAACUGGCGAAAACAACUACGCUCUCGCAGCUUGAUUGAAGCAAAGUAAAUCAUAAGCGUAAUUUCGGUGCAAGGCGCCGGAACGAGAUGUCACCCGGAAGCUCUGGCUUCGAAGCAAUCCGAAACGGUGGCACAGCAAUAUCGAAGAUAGUCCGGAGAAAGUCCCGAUCUCAGGAUGAAAUUCAGGGAAUAAGCUUGACAUUGGUGGCUUCGGUCUUGUGUCAAGUCGAAAACCAAGGCGAAGAUAAGCAUGUAGAAAGCAGAUGAUUUCCUCGUUUGGACGAGGGUUCGAAUCCCUCCAGGUCCACGA
rnacentral:tmRNA from 1 species